rnacentral:rRNA from 1 species
AAAAAUUAGCUUGCUACUUAACUUAGCGGGCGGACGGGUGAGUAAUACUUAGGACUCCUGCCUAUUAGUGGGGGACAACAUUCCGAAAGGAAUGCUAAUACCGCAUACGUCCUACGGGAGAAAGCAGGGGAUCACUUGUGACCUUGCGAUAAUAGAUGAGCCUAAGUCGGACCAGCUAGUUGGUGGGGUAAAGGCCCACCAAGGAGACGAUCUGUAGCGGGUCUGAGAGGAUGAUCCGCCACACUGGGAUUGAGACACGGCCCAGACUCCUACGGGAGGCAGCAGUGGGGAAUAUUGGACAAUGGGGGGAACCCUGAUCCAGCCAUGCCGCGUGUGUGAAGAAGGCCUUUUGGUUGUAAAGCACUUUAAGCGAGGAGGAGGCUACUCUAGUUAAUACCUAGAGAUAGUGGACGUUACUCGCAGAAUAAGCACCGGCUAACUCUGUGCCAGCAGCCGCGGUAAUACAGAGGGUGCGAGCGUUAAUCGGAUUUACUGGGCGUAAAGCGUGCGUAGGUGGCCAAUUAAGUCAAAUGUGAAAUCCCCGAGCUUAACUUGGGAAUUGCAUUCGAUACUGGUUGGCUAGAGUAUGGGAGAGGAUGGUAGAAUUCCAGGUGUAGCGGUGAAAUGCGUAGAGAUCUGGAGGAAUACCGAUGGCGAAGGCAGCCAUCUGGCCUAAUACUGACACUGAGGUACGAAAGCAUGGGGAGCAAACAGGAUUAGAUACCCUGGUAGUCCAUGCCGUAAACGAUGUCUACUAGCCGUUGGGGUCUUUGAGACUUUAGUGGCGCAGCUAACGCGAUAAGUAGACCGCC